CAUCAAUCUCUCCCAUUUUGUGCAUUCCUGUGCAUGCACUCAGGCUGCCACACAGCCCCAUCCUGCUCCAUGAUAUAUCUGAACUAUGGCACCUACUGAAGUCCCACCUACUCUUGCACACCCACGCUCACACACAGCAGGAAGCCAGAGGAGCAGAGUACAAGCACCUCAUGACUGCCUGCAGGUGUCCUUCCCCACCGUUCCUGGACAGCCAACAGCCUUUGUGACAUUUCAGACUCCUGCUCACUCCCCCGCCCACCCACCGAGAGACGUAUCUCUUCCUCUCCAGCUCUCCUCUUUCCACACCUCUGUGUCUGUGCUGUCACCAGGGGCAGGUGGCUGCAAGGAGGGGGCCUUUCUCCAUGGAUUCCCACCGGUUCCUUGUGGCCAUGCUGCUCCCUGUGGGCUGGGCCCUUCAGCAAUCACCCGAUACACUUGCCCAGGUGGGAAACACUGUCACUCUGGAAUGUUCUGGACUGGGGAAUGUAGUCAAGACCAUGUCCUGGUAUAAGUUACCCAUGGAGAAGAAUGCCAGUCUGCAGCUGGUUGUAUAUUCAUUGGAAGGUGGCAAAGCAGAUAUUGAGAAGGAAUUCAAAAAUCGCUUCCAGAGUAAUGGGACUAAGAACAACCAUUUAUCUGUGAAGAUACAGCAUGCCCUACUCAAUGACUCAGGCACAUAUUUCUGUGCUGAACAAGAUCCACAGUGAGUCAAAGGCUGGUGCAGCACAGCACAAACCUU